GCACUUACCUGGAGGGGGUCAAUGGGUGAUCAAGAAGAUCCAUGACCUAGGUUAGUGACCUUCAUUGCACUUAGGAGGGGUGCUACCCUAAGGUCGGCCCAAGUGGUUGAGCCUACAUCAUAAUUUUUGAUAGUGGAGGCCUGCGUUCGCGCGGCCUUUA
rnacentral:snRNA from 1 species